rnacentral:rRNA from 1 species
UGGGGAAUAUUGCACAAUGGGGGAAAGCCUGAUGCAGCGACGCCGCGUGAGCGAAGAAGUAUUUCGGUAUGUAAAGCUCU